rnacentral:tRNA from 1 species
GGACGCCUAGCUCAGUUGGUUAGAGCACCUCGUUUACACCGAGGGGGUCAGGGGUUCGAGUCCCUUGGCGUCCA